rnacentral:rRNA from 1 species
GACGAACGCUGGCGGCGUGCCUAAUACAUGCAAGUUGAGCGAUGAAGAUUGGUGUUUGCACCAAUUUGAAGAGCAGCGAACGGGUGAGUAACGCGUGGGGAAUCUGCCUUUGAGCGGGGGACAACAUUUGGAAACGAAUGCUAAUACCGCAUAACAACUUUAAACAUAAGUUUUAAGUUUGAAAGAUGCAAUUGCAUCACUCAAAGAUGAUCCCGCGUUGUAUUAGCUAGUUGGUGAGGUAAAGGCUCACCAAGGCGAUGAUACAUAGCCGACCUGAGAGGGUGAUCGGCCACAGUGGGACUGAGACACGGCCCAAACUCCUACGGGAGGCAGCAGUAGGGAAUCGUCGGCAAUGGACGAAAGUCUGACCGAGCAACGCCGCGUGAGUGAAGAAGGUUUUCGGAUCGUAAAACUCUGUUGGUAGAGAAGAACGUUGGUGAGAGUGGAAAGCUCAUCAAGUGACGGUAACUACCCAGAAAGGGACGGCUAACUACGUG